UACAGAGGGUGCAAGCGUUGUUCGGAAUUAUUGGGCGUAAAGGGCGCGUAGGCGGUGCGGUAAGUCUGUAGUGAAAUCUCUGGGCUCAACUCAGAGUCUGCUGCAGAAACUGCCGUGCUUGAGUGUGGGAGAGGUGAGUGGAAUUCCCGGUGUAGCGGUGAAAUGCGUAGAUAUCGGAAGGAACACCAGUGGCGAAAGCGGCUUCCUGGUCCGACACCGACGUUCAGGCACGAAAGCGUGGGGAGCAAACAGG
rnacentral:rRNA from 1 species